rnacentral:rRNA from 1 species
AGCGAACGCUGGCGGCAGGCCUAACACAUGCAAGUCGAACGAACUCUUCGGAGUUAGUGGCGGACGGGUGAGUAACACGUGGGAACGUGCCUUUAGGUUCGGAAUAACUCAGGGAAACUUGUGCUAAUACCGAAUGUGCCCUUCGGGGGAAAGAUUUAUCGCCUUUAGAGCGGCCCGCGUCUGAUUAGCUAGUUGGUGGGGUAAUGGCCCACCAAGGCUACGAUCAGUAGCUGGUCUGAGAGGAUGACCAGCCACAUUGGGACUGAGACACGGCCCAAACUCCUACGGGAGGCAGCAGUGGGGAAUCUUGCGCAAUGGGCGAAAGCCUGACGCAGCCAUGCCGCGUGUAUGAUGAAGGUCUUAGGAUUGUAAAAUACUUUCACCGGUGAAGAUAAUGACUGUAGCCGGAGAAGAAGCCCCGGCUAACUUCGUGCCAGCCGCCGCGGU